UACGGAGGGUGCGAGCGUUGUCCGGAAUCAUUGGGCGUAAAGGGCGCGUAGGUGGCCCGGUCAGUUCGUGGUGAAAGCGCGGGGCUCAACUCCGCGUCGGCCAUGAAUACUGCUGGGCUUGAGCACUGUAGAGGCAGGCGGAAUUCCGGGUGUAGCGGUGGAAUGCGUAGAGAUCCGGAAGAACACCGGUGGCGAAGGCGGCCUGCUGGGCAGUAGCUGACGCUGAUGCGCGACAGCCCAGGGGAGCGAACGGG
rnacentral:rRNA from 1 species